rnacentral:rRNA from 1 species
UACGGAGGGUGCAAGCGUUAUCCGGAUUUACUGGGUUUAAAGGGUGUGUAGGCGGGCUUUUAAGUCAGUGGUGAAAUCUCCGGGCUCAACCUGGAAACUGCCAUUGAUACUAUUAGUCUUGAAUUUUGUUGAGGUAGGCGGAAUAAGUCAUGUAGCGGUGAAAUGCAUAGAUAUGACUUAGAACACCAAUUGCGAAGGCAGCUUGCUAAACAAUAUUGACGCUGAGGCACGAAAGCGUGGGGAUCAAACAGGA